rnacentral:rRNA from 1 species
GAUGAACGCUGGCGGCGUGCUUAACACAUGCAAGUCGAACGAGGAAGCCCAGCUUGCUGGGUGGAUUAGUGGCGAACGGGUGAGUAACACGUGAGUAACCUGCCCUUAACUCUGGGAUAAGCCUGGGAAACUGGGUCUAAUACCGGAUAGGAGCGUCCACCGCAUGGUGGGUGCUGGAAAGAUUUAUCGGUUUUGGAUGGACUCGCGGCCUAUCAGCUUGUUGGUGAGGUAAUGGCUCACCAAGGCGACGACGGGUAGCCGGCCUGAGAGGGUGACCGGCCACACUGGGACUGCGACACGGCCCAGACUCCUACGGGAGGCAGCGGUGGGGAAUAUUACACAGUGGGCGCAAGCCUGAUGCAGCGACGCCGCGUGAGGGAUGACGGCCUUCGGGUUGUAAACCUCUUUCAGUAGGGAAGAAGCGAAAGUGACGGUACCUGCAGAAGAAGCACCGGCUAACUACGUG